AGGACCAUAGCUUAGUGGUAGACCAUCUGCUUUGCAUGCAGAAGGUCACCGGUUCAAUCCCUGGCAUCCCCA